UACGUAGGGGGCAAGCGUUGUCCGGAUUUAUUGGGCGUAAAGAGCGUGUCGGCGGCUAGGUAGGUCCGUUGUGAAAACUCGAGGCUCAACCUCGAGACGCCGAUGGAAACCAUCUGGCUAGAGUCCGGAAGAGGAGAGUGGAAUUCCUGGUGUAGCGGUGAAAUGCGCAGAUAUCAGGAAGAACACCCGUGGCGAAGGCGGCUCUCUGGGACGGUACUGACGCUGAGACGCGAAAGCGUGGGGAGCGAACAGG
rnacentral:rRNA from 1 species